rnacentral:rRNA from 1 species
CUACGUAGGGGGCGAGCGUUGUCCGGAAUGAUUGGGCGUAAAGGGCGCGUAGGCGGCCCGGUAAGUCUGGAGUGAAAGUCCUGUUUUUAAGAUGGGAAUUGCUUUGGAUACUGUCGGGCUUGAGUGCAGGGGAGGUAAGUGGAAUUCCCAGUGUAGCGGUGAAAUGCGUAGAGAUUGGGAGGAACACCAGUGGCGAAGGCGACUUCCUGGACUGUGUCUGACGCUCAGAUGCGAAAGCCAGGGUAGCGAACGGGAUUAGAUACCCCGGUAGUCCUGGCCGUAAACGAUGGGUACUAGGUGUGGGAGGUAUCGACUCCUUCCGUGGCGGAGUUAACGCAAUAAGUACCCCGCCUGGGGAGUACGGCCGCAAGGCUUAAACUCAAAUGAAUUGACGGGG